rnacentral:rRNA from 1 species
GUCGAGCGAAUGGAUUAAGAGCUUGCUCUUAUGAAGUAUAGCGGCGGACGGGUGAGUAACACGUGGGUAACCUGCCCAUAAGACUGGGAUAACUCCGGGAAACCGGGGCUAAUACCGGAUAACAUUUUGAACCGCAUGGUUCGAAAUUGAAAGGCGGCUUCGGCUGUCACUUAUGGAUGGACCCGCGUCGCAUUAGCUAGUUGGUGAGGUAACGGCUCACCAAGGCAACGAUGCGUAGCCGACCUGAGAGGGUGAUCGGCCACACUGGGACUGAGACACGGCCCAGACUCCUACGGGAGGCAGCAGUAGGGAAUCUUCCGCAAUGGACGAAAGUCUGACGGAGCAACGCCGCGUGAGUGAUGAAGGCUUUCGGGUCGUAAAACUCUGUUGUUAGGGAAGAACAAGUGCUAGUUGAAUAAGCUGGCACCUUGACGGUACCUAACCAGAAAGCCACGGCUAACUACGUGCCAGCAGCCGCGGUAAUACGUAGGUGGCAAGCGUUAUCCGGAAUUAUUGGGCGUAAAGCGCGCGCAGGUGGUUUCUUAAGUCUGAUGUGAAAGCCCACGGCUCAACCGUGGAGGGUCAUUGGAAACUGGGAGACUUGAGUGCAGAAGAGGAAAGUGGAAUUCCAUGUGUAGCGGUGAAAUGCGUAGAGAUAUGGAGGAACACCAGUGGCGAAGGCGACUUUCUGGUCUGUAACUGACACUGAGGCGCG